AUGAAAUCAAAGGUCCAGGUUGUAGCUGGCUUUCUUUGGAAGCAUGUGCACACCUGUGACCGUUAUCCAUCUCAUCCCUGUGCACCUUUGCGUGGGUCAAGAGGAGCUUUGUGGUUCCUCAAGGCUUGCGUUUUCUUAUACACUCAUUGUAUGUUUCGGAAUGUCUAUUUGUGUUAAUCACAUCUAAUA
rnacentral:misc_RNA from 1 species